CCCGCGCCGCAUGGAGCCCGGCGCCCGCACUCGCAGCCCCGCGCUCGGCGCCGGCCGCGCCAUGGGGGAGGGGCGGGGCGGGCCGCGCGAGACCCGGGAAACAUGGCUGCUCGUCCUAUUUCGGCGUCGCGGCGUGGCCACCAGCCCCCGGAUCCGAGUUGGGAGAGGCUCCGAAGAGGCUCCCGCGCCGGCGGAAUUCAAUCAAUAAACCCCGAACCCACGGCCGCGCGUUUUAGGACUUUGAAGGCUCAACCAGCUCCGCUCGGUUCUCGAGCCCCCAGCACCCGCGGCGCACACUAACCUGAUCACGGUGGAGGCGGGACCUGCGGGCCGGCGGAUGAGCGGCAACAGCUGGAGCCAAUCGCCGCCGAGGGUCUCCGGGCAACAGCCAAUGGUGGCAGCGGCGGGGGGGGAAGGGACCAAUGGGCGGGCUGCGCAGCCGGCCAGGGAGGCUCAGCCAUUUGGUUGUGGUGCCGGAGACGGACCCCUUUAGAUUUCGGGGCGGCUGAGGAGCGCGGCGGCUGCUUGGUGGCUGAGCUAGGGGGGUGGGCAGAAUGGCGGGGGAAGGGAAGGUGACUGCGCCUCGAGAGCCUAGCCGCUCGGCCUCGCCAGCCCGCCGCCGCCGCCUCAGCGUUUGGCCGGGGGCGGGGCCGCAGGUGCGUUACUCGAGGGGGAGGGGCGCGGCCGGAGGGGUCGGGGUCGGGAUCCUCGCAGGGCCGAGGGCUUCGCGGGGACGCCCUGGGCCUGCCCGCCUCGCUGGAGCGGGUUGGUGAAAGAGGUGGACGUCCGGCGCGAGGUCUCGGGGCCGCGGGCUGCCCCGCGGGCGGGCUGAUGAAAGGCCUGGAAAGAGGGGGGAGGGGUCAAGGGUGCAGUGGGAGGAGGGGCUGGUCAUUUUCUGGGUCCGGAGGGCCGCGCGGUGGAGCGUGGCUGCUGCCCUCCACCCCCUCCGCGGGUUCCCACCCCCCCCCGGCUGCGGCUCACAGCCCGCGCGCCCCUUCGCCUCCCGCCUCGUCCUCGUCCAGCCGCGGCCAUCGCCGCCCCUCUAAUAAACAAGUAAAUGAAA